rnacentral:rRNA from 1 species
UAAGUGAUGGCGACCGGCGCACGGGUGAGUAACACGUAUCCAACCUGCCGAUAACUCGGGGAUAGCCUUUCGAAAGAAAGAUUAAUACCCGAUGGUAUAAUAAAGCCGCAUGGUUUAAUUAUUAAAGAAUUUCGGUUAUCGAUGGGGAUGCGUUCCAUUAGGCAGUUGGUGAGGUAACGGCUCACCAAACCUUCGAUGGAUAGGGGUUCUGAGAGGAAGGUCCCCACAUUGGAACUGAGACACGGUCCAA